rnacentral:lncRNA from 1 species
AUGAAAGUGGUUGUUAAUCAAAACAAUUUUCAUAUUUUAUCUCUCCACAGGCAGGGGUCAGUCAUCGGCUGGAUUGCCCAGGGAUUGGCCAGUGUGGUUCCACAGCCUGAAUUGAAAAACAUGGAGGAGGUGGAGCCUGCAGAGACAACAGAGAUUGCAGAGGUGAUCAAGGUGCCGGAGGUUAAGAAAAAACCUAGCAUUGCAGAGGUGAGCAAUGCGCCGGAGGUUAAGAAAACACCUACCGUGCAUGCUAUCCAAGAUGUCCCAGAUGCAGAGCCUCUUCCUCAUAUUCCUGUGGUGGAGGUUAUGUCAGAUGAAGAGCCUCAAGAAGAGAAGGGAAUCCCACCCAGGGUGUAUGAGUGGAUCAAACAGGGUUUUGAGAGGUGGUUCCACAGCCAGCUGACAACAAAGACGUCUCACGCGAAGGCCGCUGCCCACAGAAAGGUUAUCUUCUAACACGCCGAGAUCCUCAUAUUUAUUAUAGGGAU